rnacentral:rRNA from 1 species
GACGAACGCUGGCGGCGUGCUUAAUACAUGCAAGUCGAACGGAAAGGCCCGGCUCUUGCGGGGUGCUCGAGUGGCGAACGGGGGAGUAACACGUGAGUAACCUGCCCUUGACUUUGGGAUAACUCCUGGAAAAUGGGGCUAAUACCGGAUAGGAGCUCCUGAUGCGUGGGGUGGGUUGGAAAGUUUCGGCGGUUGGGGCUGGACUAGCGGCUUAUCAGCUUGUUGGUGGGGUAGUGGCGGACCAAGGCUUUGACGGGUAGCCGGCCUGGGAGGGUGGCCGGCCACAAUAGGACUGAGGUACGGCCCAGUCUCGUACGGGAGGCAGUGGGCGGGAGUAUUACGCAGUGGGGCGAAGCGUGAUGCAGCAGCCCCGCGUUCGGAAUACCCUCUUUCGAGUUGUGAACAGCUGUCUCCUGUGACGAAGCGUUCGUGACGGUAAUGAGUAAGGAAGCACCGGCUAACUACGUG